GACGAACGCUGGCGGCAUGCCUAAGACAUGCAAGUCGAACGAACGAAUUGGUGCUUGCACCAAUAAGUUAGUGGCGAACGGGUGAGUAACAUGUAGGUAACCUACCUCAAAGACGGGGACAACAGUUGGAAACGACUGCUAAUACCGGAUAGCUAAUAGAAUCGCAUGAUUUUAUUAUUAAAGGAGCUUUCAAGCUUCGCUUUGAGAUGGACCUGCACUGUAUUAGCUAGUUGGUGAGGUAAUGGCUCACCAAGGCAUCGAUGCAUAGCCGAGCUGAGAGGCUGAUCGGCCACACUGGAACUGAGACACGGUCCAG
rnacentral:rRNA from 1 species